ACAGCAUUGAACUAUAUUUGCGAAGGCAUUGGCAGCCUGUAAAUGGAUGGUAAAAAGAAGUUGACCAAAAGACUGAGUGGUUCACAUUCAGUGGGCCUGGCACACAUGGAAGGUAUUGUGGUCUGUUCCUCAGCUGGGAGGGUGGAGAUUAAGUGGGUUGCUGUUCUGAUAUGCCAGAGCUCUUUGGUAUUUGUGGUACUGCUAAUUACCAUGUGUUCACCUGAAUGCUUCCUAUCCUGCACCUAUUAGUGGCUGUGGAGCUGAUUGUGGCAGAAGCCAUGGCCCUAAAAGAGGUUAUUCAUCUUCUUCCAGAUUCAUUCUCAGGGUCCCUCCAGUUUAAGGAAGUACCAAGCAUUUCCGCCCUUGGCUAGAAGUCCCCAUUCAACGACUGAAAUUGUAACCGAUAUAAUAGUUGGAUUCUUGGAGUAUUGUGUUUUUUUUUUUUUGGGGCUAUUGUCUCGCCCACAUGAUGGCACACUAGAUGAGUGGUUGAAUUACAGGUUCCUUGUUUAUGGUGAAGAUGUCGGAGACUAGCAAGCCUUGAUCUCCAAGGAGACUUGUGAACUUUCUAACCUUUUCCUAAUGCAGGAGCAUUUUCACACCGGCUCGAGUGGGGUAGCCUAUCGGAUGUGGGGACACACUCGGGGUGGGUGGCCCAUGUGAAGCGGAACCCAUGUGAAGUGAGGCCCACGAGGAGAUUCGGCCAAGGUCCUAACCCAUGCGAUGUGGGACCUGAGCUAUGAAAUAAAGGGAUUGAUUCGCCACUCUCUAUUAGUUCGAGCUUUUAGAGCAAGUGGCUAAUUGUCCUGCAUCAUUUCCUCAUGUAGAUUUCAUGCUUCUCGGUUAGAGCUGAAGACAUUCCUUACCUUUUAUGUGAUUGAUGAUUGCAUCAUGUUGCAUUUGCACCAUCAGGUUUGUUCAUUUAGAACUUGCUACAUGCUGAUCAGCUGCUGGAUUGAUCUCUUUUUGAGGAUUUUUAGCAUUGUUAUAUUUCCAAGUUUAAGUCAUCUUGUCUUAAUUUCAUAUGAUUAGAUGCUGGUAGUGGGAGGAUGCUAAUACUGGAAAGGAUAAUGAAGUCAAUCAAAGCACAGACAGAGACCUUACAUCCACAUCUUCACCAGUCUUGCAGGACACAGAAAAUAAUGCAACCAUUACAACUUGAGUAAGGAAAAGCACAAGAUGUGAUCUUUUACUCAUAUCAAAGAUAUUAUCAACAGUUUUGCUGCCAAUCACGAAGAGGAAGAAGCAAUGGGAAUCUCAAAUCAUCUGGAUGUUAUAUCGGUUUUCUUAAAUAUCAGUUGUGGUAGAGUUCCGGCUGAAUUGAUUUGGCAAAGAACGAGAUUCGGGGGGAAUACACGUCACUCAGCAAACUCAACACUGGUGCAGCACGCGGUGGUUUCUGAGCAUCCUCAACUCUACAAAGGAAUGAAAUUAUCCACAUCAUCCAUGGUCACCUGAGAAAGAAUCAAUCUCCUGACUAGAGAGGAAGUGAUCUACAUAUAGUAAAAUAAAAGACUAUGUACUAAGAACAUCUAUUGUGCCGGUUCAUAUUAGGAUAUUUUGGAUGGGUGACACCGAAGAAAUCUCGCUCGAUAGUAGAUUGCACCCUUUGAUCAUUGAAUUAUUUUCCUAUAAAUAAUGAUUAGACUC